rnacentral:rRNA from 1 species
UACGGAGGGUGCAAGCGUUAUCCGGAUUCACUGGGCUUAAAGGGCGCGUAGGCGGGUCAGCAAGUCCGGGGUGAAAGCUUUCGGCUCAACCGGAAAAGGGCCUUGGAUACUGCUGGUCUGGAGGAAGGUAGGGGCGUGUGGAACUUCCGGUGGAGCGGUGAAAUGCGUAGAUAUCGGAAGGAACGCCGGUGGCGAAAGCGACACGCUGGACCUUUUCUGACGCUGAGGCGCGAAAGCCAGGGGAGCAAACGGG